rnacentral:lncRNA from 1 species
UAGUUGCUGAUUGAUCACAUUCUAGGAGGCUGGUUGAAGCCUGUUCAGGAGUUUGGAUUUAUAAAUGGCCCCCAUUCAUUGAUUUGGUUGACAUUGCACAUGAGUUGCUGUGAGCAAAGAGUUAGACCAUUUUGCUUACUGUUUUCAGAGCCUUGCCAGCAAUCCAAGUUUUGACAUGGACUUGUAUGUUGUAUCCGAGAAGUAAAAAAAAAUGCACUGGUAUUUAUUUUUGAAACAGAGAACUGCAGGAACAGUAAACUUGAUUUGUACAAGUGAGAGAUGAGGAGGAUAUAUAGAGGCAGAGCUGAUCCAAGCCAGUUGCAGUCUUUGGGGCUGAGAGGAUUAACCUGUUGUAUACAUUGUGGAAUAUUAUGUUGUUAUCAGAGAGAACCUGACUGACUUGUAUCAUCAUCAUCAUGUAUACCUGUAUCCUCUGUGGAUUGACAUGUACAUUGACCAGUAGGUAAAAGUAUAUGGAGUGAUGGCCCGUAUCAUCAUCAUCAUCAUCAUCAUCAUCAUCAUGUACACAGUAGCCCGUUCCGGUCGUAUUUCUCUCUCUAGAUAUGGAGUGAUGGCAGGCAUAGGAAUGAUAUGUUGAGGUUAGUCUUGUGAAACUAAUGUUGCAGUUGUUGUUUGUUGUAGACUGAGCAUGUCUGUUUUAUUUCUUUGGGUUUCGUUCGGCAUCUCAAUAAGUACAUGUCUGUUUUAGUUUAUGAGUUGUUUCUUUUCUUUCUUGUGAGCUAUAAAUAAAUGUCAAAUAGUAUUAUCAACCUUGGGAAAUAUUAUCAACAUUUACUCCUCUGUCACAUAUUAACCGACAGAUAAAUGGGAAUCGGCUUUAGCAUAGUCUGAUCUGAUGUACUAGAAUUUAGUUCCAAUUUUGAAUUUUAGGCAUUAGCUUUGGUGGUGCUGUGCUGUGCUGUGCUGUGCUGUGUAGGUUUGGUGGUGCAAGAUGACGGCGUCGUCUUGCUGCUGCUUCCGACUGCUGUUGAGUCGGUGUCUGUUUCCCAAGAUUAUGCUUGUGGGUUUUGAUCUGAAGAAGAAUAAAUUGGAGCUUAGCGAAUUGAGGUUGGUUUCUACGUACGUAUUUGGUUUGGUUAGCCAUCCCGUCCCGUGGUUAAUUUUUUUUGGCUGGCCAUGUUUAUGUUGCUAGUACUGUAACCAAAUCUGAGAUGAGUCUGCAACUGUAAACUAGCUUGUGGCAAGCAUCUGAUCAUUUGAAAUCUGCAGUCUUGUCCGUGUGAGUGAUGCAUCCCGUCGUUUAAUAUUUUGGCCAUUAGCUUUGGUGGUGCUGUUCUCUGUUGUGCUGUGUAGGUUUGGUGCUGCAAAGGUUCAAGUCAGUACCUGUUUCCCAAGAUUGUGCUUGUGAAAAAUGUUCGUGAAAGUUUCUUGGAUUUGGAAAAAGAUCAUGAGUUCAAAAGAUGUUCAAUAAAUGAAAAAUUGUUCCCGAAUUUUAAAAUAGAUCACAAAUUUGAGAAACAUUCAAAAAUUCAAAAAAAUAUUCACAGAUUGAAAAGUGUUUGUGGAUUUGAAACAAGUUCAAAAAUUCAAAGAAAAUUGUUAAAUGAAAAAUAUUUGCACAUUUGAAAAAUAUCACAAAAUUAAAAAUAGUUCAUGGAUUUAACAAAGUUCAUGAACUUGAGAAAAGGUCUCAUUUUUUUAAAAAAAAAUGCGAAUUUGAGUAAAGUUCAUGAACUUGAAAAAAUAUUAACGAUUUAAAAAAUGUUCAUCAUUUCAAAAUGUAAAAAAAAGAAAAGAAAAAAAUGAAUGAGUAAAAAGAGUAAUGAAAACAACAAAGAAACUGAAAGAUAAAUCAAAAUAGUACUAAAAAAGAGAACGGAAAAUAAUGUGAAAACCAGAAAGGAAAAAACCAAAUAGAAAACCAUGGCUGGAAAAUACAGAAAGACUGUCAAAAAAAGAGAAACCGAAUAGAAAACCAUGGCUGGAAAAUACAAAAAGACUGUCAAAAAAAAAGAGAAACCGAAAAGAAAACCAUGGCUGGAAAAUACACAAAGACUGUAAAAAAAAAGAGAAACCAUGCGAAAGAACAUUCUAGAAUGUUCCCAAAAGCGGCAAUUAACCACACUGUUCCAUGGGCCAGGCCGUUAGAAGUAGCAGCCCCCCACCUGAGCUCUCGCUACGAAUAAAGAGCUAUCACCAGAUAGGAUAUACCCCUAAAAAAACCAGAUAGGAUAUGGCUAAAACUUGCGUGUCUCAAAUGUUUUUGUUGGAUAUUUAUGCAAAAUAUUUUAUUUUUGAGCCCGUCAAAAAAUAUUUUAUUUUAUUUUUGAGAGACAUAUCAUUUAAGGACGCGUCUACACAGCGGCCGGCUGCUCCCUGUCGUUUCGGAGCAGCCGGCCAAAAUACAAAAAGUUUGAUAUGUAAUCCAUAAAAAGAAAUGUCUUGUCCUUAUGUCUUGUCCUUUUUGUCCUUUAUAUUGAUUAGAUUUUUUUCCAUCUGGUCCUUUUUUCAUGACAUAUUAAAUGCCCGAAACAGUUAUCUUUUAGAUGUAGAGUGCAUGUGCAUUUAAUUUGUGGUUUUAAAUUUUCAAAAAACAAUAACUUUCAAAUUGCGCAUCAAAAUUAAGAUUCGUUUUCACUACUGGAACCAUCGCGGCGUGCUCUUCGAAACUAAAUCCCACAUGAGUAUAUUUCGACGAAUUUUUUUGUGCAAUUUUGUCCCCGUUUUGUGCAACUGACUAACCGUUGUUGUGUAACUACCUGACAGGGAUGUGCAACUUUUCUCGUACACUGUAGACAUGCAGUUUUUCUCUAUGGUGCCUCCACCUUCAAACUGCCUCCUUUCAGUGAGAUGUGCAACUUCGUUUGUUGUCUAGGCCAUGCAGUUUUCACUAGUGGCACCACCCCAUACUACUCUCUAACAGUGAAAUGUGCAUUUUCGCUGUGCCCUAGCCAACUGCCUAGUAGUCGUCGUGUGUGGGCAGCCCCCACAACCGUGUUCGAGGGACUAUCCUAUGAGGAUGUCCCAACUCCACGGUCACGCAUGUGCGACUAUGCACACAAGAGUGUGCAACUCCGUGGUCGGACGUGGGCAUCUCCCACAGUAGUUCAUGUGCGACUAUGCAGACGAGAUUGUGCAACUGUGUGGCCAUGCAUGUGCGACUAUGCUGAUGAGAGUGUGCAACUCCGUGGUCGGACAUGACCACGUCCCACAAAAACUUAUGUGCGACUAUGCGGACGAGAUUGUGCAACUCUGUGGCCAUGCAUAUGCGACUGUGCCGACGAGAGUGUGCAACUCCGCGGCCAUGCAUGAGCACCUCCCACGAUAAUUCAUGUGCGACUAUGCGGACGAGAUUGUACAACUCUGUGUUCAUGCAUGAGCAUCUCCCACGAUAAUUCAUGUGCGACUAUGCGGACGAGAUUUUGCAACUCUGUGUUCGUGCAUGUGCAACUAUGCCGACGAGAGUGUGCAAUCCCGCGGCCAUGCGUGAGCACCUCCCACGAUAAUUUAUGUACUAUGCACACGAGAUUGUGCAACUCUGUGGCCAUGCAUGUGCGAUUAUACCGACGAGAGUGUGCAACUCCGCGGCCGGGCAUGAGCACCUCCCACGACAAUUCAUGUGCGACUAUGCGGACGAGAUCGUGUAACUCUGUGACCAUGCAUAUUGUGCCGACAAAAGUGUGCAACUCCGCGGCCAUGCGUGAGCAUCUCCCCACGGACCCGCGACUAAUGCAUUGCGUCCUUGCAUCGACAAUGACCCGGCGGAGAUCAUCAUCAUCGGGCACAUCGUCUGGUUCCUCUUGAUCUUCAGCAGCUUCACCCGUGGCAGCAUCAUUGGGCACAUCGUCUGGUUCCUCUUGAUCUUCACCAGCUCCCCACGUUGCAGCAUCACCGUAUUCAGGGGGCACAUAGUUGUCAUCGUACUCUUCUUCUUCGCCGUCUUCCAUCAUAACCCCUAUUUCUCCGUGCCUCGUCCAAACAUUAUAGUGUGGCAUGAAACCCUUGUAAAGCAGGUGGGAGUGAAGGAUUUUCCGGUUAGAGUAAGACCUCAUAUUCCCACAUUCAGUGCAUGGACAACGCAUAAAACCAUUCUGCUUGUUUGCCUCAGCCGCAUCGAGAAACUCAUGCACGCUCUUAAUGUACUCGCGGGUGUGUCUGUCACCGUACAUCCAUUGCCGGUUCAUCUGCGUGCAUUAUAUAUAAUUAAGUGUCCAAAUUAAUAGAAGUUCAUCAUCACAUUAAAACCAAAGUGCAUACAUAGUUCUCAUCUAACAACAUAUAGCUCUCCAGAGCAUCUACUUAAUUAAACCAUACAUUGAAACUAUGUAAAACAUUUCAAUGCGAAAACAAAUGCGAUCAUAAUCGCAACCAAGGUAACAAUUGAUCCAACGGUAUAAUGAUACCAAGUCUCGGUAUGAAUGGCAUAUUUUCUAAUCUUUCUAAUCUUCAAGCGCAUUGCAUCCAUCUUGAUCUUGUGAUCAUCGACGACAUCCGCAACAUGCAACUUCAAUAUCAUCUUCUCCUCCUCAAUUUUUUUUUAUUUUUUCCUUCAACAAAUUGUUUUCUUCUUCAACUAAAUUUAACCUCUCGACAAUAGGAUCGGUUGGCAUUUCCGAUUCACAUACAUCCUAGAUAAAUAAAAUCUAUGUCACGUUGGUCGGCAUAAUUUUCAUAAACAAUAAAUGAACCAAUAGUUAUAAAGAUAAUAUACAUACCAAAUCCGAAUCAUAGACAGGACGAGGGCCGACGGGGGCGGAUACCAAAACCAUCGCACUAUAUAAGAUGCAAUAAUAAAUGUAAGAAAAUGAUACAAGUAUCUAUCUAAACAUACAAGUAAGAAUAUUUUUCCUUUCAGAAAGAAGAUAAGAACAAGAGGCUCACCACGGUGGUGUCGGUGAUGAGAUCGGCGCGGGUGAUCGACGGCGGUGAAGACGGGGAUGGGGCGUGACGGACCGCUAAAUCUAGACAAAUCUCGAGGAAAAUGGAGCUUGGAGGUCGAGCUUCGAGAGGAGAAAGCUUAAUAGUGUGGCUCGGGCAUUCCAUCGAACACCUCAUGUGCAUAGGAGGUGAGCUAGAGCACCACAAAGCCCUCUCCCCCUCGGCCAGAAAAAACAGAGCACUGUGCUCUGCUCUUGCGCGAGGGGGUAUAUAUAGGCACCUCAUUGGUCCCGGUUGGUGGCAUGAACCGGGACCAAAGGGGAGCCUUUGGUCCCGGUUCAAGCCACCAACCAGGACCAAUGGUAGUGGGCCAGGAGCGAGGCCCAUUGGUCCCGGUUCGUCCCACCAACCGGGACCAAAAGGUCCAGACGAACCGGGACCAAUGGCCCACGUGGCCCGGCCGGCCCCCUGGGCUCACGAACCGGGACCAAUGCCCACAUUGGUCCCGGUUCUAUACUGAAUCGGGACUAAUGGGCUGAGCCGGCCUGGACCAUAGCCCUGUUUUCUACUAGUGAACCGUGCCGACGAAAGUGUGCAACUCCGCGGCCAUGCGUGAGCAUCUCCCCACGACAAUUCAUGUGCGACUAUGCGGACAAGAUUGUACAACUCUCUGUACAUGCGUGUGUGACUAUGCCGGCAAGAGUGUGCAACUCCGCGUCCGGGCGUAAGAACCUCCCACGAUAAUUCAUGUGCUACUAUAUGGGCCAGAUUGUGCAACUCUGUUGCCAUGCAUGUGCGACUGGGCCGACGAAAGUGUGCAACUUGGCGGCGGGGCAUGAGAACAUCCCAUGAUAAUUCAUAUGCGAUUAUACGGAUCAGAUUGUGCAACUAUAUGGUUAUGCAUGUGCCAAAUAAAACUAGUAUAUGUGCAACUACAACUAGUGUGAGUAUCAACUAGCCAUCCAGGAAGAGUCUAGAUGCACGAACACACAGCCGCGUGCAGACCACCGCGAUGCAUUCAUCCGUGCUCCCUUCUUCUUGUCCUUGCCACGUGCUCCCUUCUUCCCGUCCACAACAAGGAUGCAUGCACCCUUCUCAUUCACUCCCAGCCUUUUGGAUCAAUGGAUUCGGAGGGAGGCGCUCUACAUUUGUACUGCUACAUAGAAAUAAAAUGGAGUGAGAAAGAAGAUGUGGCUGCAGGAAGAAAAGAGCGAGAAGAGAAUCUGAAUUUGCUUUCCCCCUUGUUUGACCCGUUCCUCCCCUUACAUGUGUUAUUCCCUGAGGUGCUGCUGCCUGAAGAGAAUCUGAUGCCGCAAAGAAAAUAUGGAUGCUAAUAAACAGAGAACUGCAGGAACAGUAAACUUGAUUUGUACAAGUGAGAGAUGAGGAGGAUAUAUAGAGGCAGAGCUGAUCCAAGCCAGUUGCAAUCUUCGGGGCUAAGAGGAUUAACCUGUUGUAUACAUUGUGGAAU